GACGAACGCUGGCGGCGUGCUUAACACAUGCAAGUCGAACGGAAAGGCCCUGCUUUUGUGGGGUGCUCGAGUGGCGAACGGGUGAGUAACACGUGAGUAACCUGCCCUUGACUUUGGGAUAACUUCAGGAAACUGGGGCUAAUACCGGAUAGGAGCUCCUGCUGCAUGGUGGGGGUUGGAAAGUUUCGGCGGUUGGGGAUGGACUCGCGGCUUAUCAGCUUGUUGGUGGGGUAGUGGCUUACCAAGGCUUUGACGGGUAGCCGGCCUGAGAGGGUGACCGGCCACAUUGGGAAUGAGAUACGCCCCAGACUCCGACGGGAGGCAGAAGUGGGGAAUAUUACACAAUGGGGGGAAGCCUGAUGCAGCAACGCCGCGGGCGGGAUGACGGCCUUCGGGUUGUAACCCGCUUUCGCCUGUGACGAAGCGUGAGUGACGGUAAUGGGUAAAGAAGCACCGGCUAACUACGUG
rnacentral:rRNA from 1 species